GGUAUAAUUACGUAGGCAUAAUAUUGUACGCUUAAUUAACAUUAUUAGGAAACAUCGGGAAAUCCGUCCGUAAAUUUACACUAAAGGGCAUUUUUUUUUUUUUUUUUUUAAUGGGUUUUUCUGCGGACACACGGUAAAAAGUCCAUUGGACACCCUGCUGUAUAGAGUAAGAACGCGUUUACCUACAGUUGUUGGUAACUGUACGCGUGCCACUGUUAUGGACAAUUAACGGUAAACGAUCGAAUUGGUAGAUUUUCGUAACAAAAUAUUUUGUUUUAUAUCCGGAAAAGUAACCUUCAGGUUAGUUUGGAAGGUAUAACUGGUGGCAAGUGGUGGCAAGUGGAGUGGACAUCACAUCCAAUGGGUAUAUAUAAUUGAACGAAUGUCCUGUUGCACUAGAGAGCUUAAUAAUCUAUUAUACACCAAUUAUGUAAUGAUAAGAGAGGGAUGCGAUGCCGUUUUGUAAUACGACGGUUACCCGACGCGACUUCUCUAUCGGUUUACCGCGCAGAUAUCCGAAUGGGGUGUACGAUAAGGGUGCUUUAUUAGUUCAUUCGGUCGCCGCUAAUAUACCGUGCGGUCGCAAAAGAGAUGGCAUAAGAUGAUAUCAGAGAGGGAUGUAGUAGUCCACUCUUUUAUUAUAUUGUAUAAUACAUACGUCAGACGUAUUUAUAGACAAGCUCUCUAGUUUACACUAUUAAAGAUACGCGUAAAUCUGCAGUGGUAAGGGGUAGGAGGGGAAGAUAGCAGGAAGCGUAAACAGUUAAGCGGUAGGGGGUAAACGAAUAUUAUAAUAUCAUAGUUAACAAAAUAUACAAUAUUUUAUGUUUUUUUUUUUUUUUCUUAAAGGUACAGUUACAGGUACAGGUAUAUAGUAUUCAAACACAUUAAAAAUAUUAUAUUAAAGUACAUCUAUAGCCUAUAUAGGUGUAUUAUAACAUUAAAGACAACCGCAAUAAAAAAGCAUGGUUUUUUAAAUUUGAAUUCAAUCACAACAGUUGCCUACAGACGUGAAUCUAUAUGGGGCGGGAUAACUAUUAUUAUUAUUAUUAUUUUUUUUAAUAUUAGUAUAGCAAUAGUUAUAGCAUAGGUAUUGAUCGUACAAUUAUUUAUGCAUAUGUAUAU